rnacentral:rRNA from 1 species
GCGUUGUUCGGAAUUACUGGGCGUAAAGCGCGCGUAGGCGGCUUUGCAAGUUAGAGGUGAAAGCCCGAAGCUCAACUUCGGAAUUGCCUUUAAAACUGCAUCGCUAGAAUUGUGGAGAGGUGAGUGGAAUUCCGAGUGUAGAGGUGAAAUUCGUAGAUAUUCGGAAGAACACCAGUGGCGAAGGCGGGUCUCUGGACAGUUCCUGACACUGAGGCACGAAGGCCAG